rnacentral:rRNA from 1 species
GAUGAACGCUGGCGGCGUGCCUAAUACAUGCAAGUCGAGCGAACAGACGAGGAGCUUGCUCCUCUGACGUUAGCGGCGGACGGGUGAGUAACACGUGGAUAACCUACCUAUAAGACUGGGAUAACUUCGGGAAACCGGUGCUAAUACCGGAUAAUAUAUUGAACCGCAUGGUUCAAUAGUGAAAGACGGUUUUGCUGUCACUUAUAGAUGGAUCCGCGCCGCAUUAGCUAGUUGGUAAGGUAACGGCUUACCAAGGCGACGAUGCGUAGCCGACCUGAGAGGGUGAUCGGCCACACUGGAACUGAGACACGGUCCAGACUCCUACGGGAGGCAGCAGUAGGGAAUCUUCCGCAAUGGGCGAAAGCCUGACGGAGCAACGCCGCGUGAGUGAUGAAGUUCUUCGGAUCGUAAAACUCUGUUAGUAGGGAAGAACAAAUGUGUAAGUAACUAUGCACGUCUUGACGGUACCUAAUCAGAAAGCCACGGCUAACUACGUG